AAAAAAAAAAAGAAAAACCUCCAGCGCUGCCCCAAAUCCAAAACCCCAACCAGAUCAAACAACCCUCGAACGGACCGCCCACAGAAGAAACCGCACGGAAAACGCAGUACCAAAUCUAGGGCUGAGAGAAGUGGACAAGCGACGAAUUGGCAGUGGCAGUCUCAAUAGGGCUGAAAGGCCAGAUCGAAGGAUAUGAACUUCACCACCAAGGAAAUUGAUUCAGUUGCCGAGAUUUCUUGUUCGUAGAAGUCGAUCUUCCCGUGCUAUUCGCUCUGUCUACGUCAAUUUUCUUCUGUAUUUUUUUCUCGGUGUUGCUUGGCUUGGGAGAAAAUAAAAGAAAUCUGUGUGAGAAGGGAAAAAGUAAGAGGAGCGAAGCAGGUGAGAGACAGAAGAGAGCCUUG
rnacentral:misc_RNA from 1 species